GACGAACGCUGGCGGCGUGCUUAAUACAUGCAAGUCGAGGGGCAGCAGGGGUAGCAAUACUCGCUGGCGACCGGCAAACGGGUGCGGAACACGUACGCAAUCUACCCAAAACUGAUGAAUAGCCCUCCGAAAGGAGGAUUAAUACAUCGUAACAUUAUAGAGUGGCAUCACUUUAUGAUUAUAGCUCUGGCGGUUUUGGAUGAGCGUGCGGCUGAUUAGANAGUUGGCAGGGUAACGGCCUACCAAGUCUACGAUCAGUAACUGGUGUGAGAGCACGACCAGUCACACGGGCACUGAGACACGGGCCCGACUCCUACGGGAGGCAGCAGUAAGGAAUAUUGGUCAAUGGACGCAAGUCUGAACCAGCCAUGCCGCGUGAAGGAUGAAGAUCCUCUGGAUUGUUAAACUUCUUUUAUAGGGAAGAAACCCGUAAAUUUCUUUUUCGGUUGACGGUACCCUGGGAAUAAGCACCGGCUAACUCCGUGCCAGCAGCCGCGGUAAU
rnacentral:rRNA from 1 species